rnacentral:rRNA from 1 species
GAUGAACGCUAGCGGCAGGCUUAACACAUGCAAGUCGAGGGGUAUAGUUCUUCGGAGCUAGAGACCGGCGCACGGGUGCGUAACGCGUAUGCAAUCUACCUUUUACAGAGGGAUAGCCCAGAGAAAUUUGGAUUAAUACCUCAUAGUAUGUGAGAAUCGCAUGGUUUUCACAUUAAAGUUCCAACGGUAAAAGAUGAGCAUGCGUCCCAUUAGCUAGAUGGUAAGGUAACGGCUUACCAUGGCGACGAUGGGUAGGGGUCCUGAGAGGGAGAUCCCCCACACUGGUACUGAGACACGGACCAGACUCCUACGGGAGGCAGCAGUGAGGAAUAUUGGACAAUGGGCGCAAGCCUGAUCCAGCCAUGCCGCGUGCAGGAUGACGGUCCUAUGGAUUGUAAACUGCUUUUGUACAGGAAGAAACACCCCCCUCGUGAGGGAGCUUGACGGUACUGUAAGAAUAAGGAUCGGCUAACUCCGUGCCAGCAACCGCGG